UACGUAGGGUGCAAGCGUUAAUCGGAAUUACUGGGCGUAAAGCGUGCGCAGGCGGUGAUGUAAGACAGGUGUGAAAUCCCCGGGCUUAACCUGGGAACUGCAUUUGUGACUGCAUCGCUGGAGUGCGGCAGAGGGGGAUGGAAUUCCGCGUGUAGCAGUGAAAUGCGUAGAUAUGCGGAGGAACACCGAUGGCGAAGGCAAUCCCCUGGGCCUGCACUGACGCUCAUGCACGAAAGCGUGGGGAG
rnacentral:rRNA from 1 species